GUGAGGAAUAUUGGACAAUGGAGGAAACUCUGAUCCAGCCAUGCCGCGUGAGUGAUGAAGGCCUUCGGGUUGUAAAGCUCUUUCGGGUGUGAAAAUGAUGAUGGUAACACCAGAAGAAGCCCCGGCUAACUCCGUGCCAGCAGCCGCGGUAAUACGGAGGGGGCGAGCGUUGUUCGGAAUCACUGGGCGUAAAGCGUGCGUAGGCGGUUAUACAAGUAAGGAGUGAAAUCCCAGGGCUCAACCUUGGAAUUGCUUUUGAGACUGUAUGACUAGAGAUCUAGAGAGGUUGGGGGAAUUCCGAGUGUAGAGGUGAAAUUCGCAGAUAUUCGGAGGAACACCAGUGGCGUAGGCGCCCAACUGGCUAGAUACUGACGCUGAGGCACGAAAGCGUGGGGAGCAAACAGGAUUAGAUACCCGAGUAGUCC
rnacentral:rRNA from 1 species